GCAGGAUUAGCUCAGCUGGAUAGAGCGUCUGACUUCGGAUCAGAAGGCCGGGGGUUCGAAUCCCUCAUCCUGCACCA
rnacentral:tRNA from 1 species